rnacentral:rRNA from 1 species
UGGGGGGGGGGGGGGUGCUAUACAUGCAGUCGAGCGAACUGAUUAGAAGCUUGCUUCUAUGACGUUAGCGGCGGACGGGUGAGUAACACGUGGGCAACCUGCCUGUAAGACUGGGAUAACUUCGGGAAACCGAAGCUAAUACCGGAUAGGAUCUUCUCCUUCAUGGGAGAUGAUUGAAAGAUGGUUUCGGCUAUCACUUACAGAUGGGCCCGCGGUGCAUUAGCUAGUUGGUGAGGUAACGGCUCACCAAGGCAACGAUGCAUAGCCGACCUGAGAGGGUGAUCGGCCACACUGGGACUGAGACACGGCCCAGACUCCUACGGGAGGCAGCAGUAGGGAAUCUUCCGCAAUGGACGAAAGUCUGACGGAGCAACGCCGCGUGAGUGAUGAAGGCUUUCGGGUCGUAAAACUCUGUUGUUAGGGAAGAACAAGUACAAGAGUAACUGCUUGUACCUUGACGGUACCUAACCAGAAAGCCACGGCUAACUACGUGCCAGCAGCCGCGGUAAU